rnacentral:rRNA from 1 species
UACGUAGGGCGCGAGCGUUGUCCGGAUUUAUUGGGCGUAAAGAGCUCGUAGGCGGCUCGUUGCGUCGGCUGUGAAAACCCGCAGCUCAACUGUGGGCUUGCAGCCGAUACGGGCGGGCUAGGAUUCGGUAGGGGAGACUGGAAUUCCUGGUGUAGCGGUGAAAUGCGCAGAUAUCAGGAGGAACACCGGUGGCGAAGGCGGCGACCUGGACAGACACUGACGUUGAGACGCGAAAGCGUGGGGAGCAAACAGG